AUUGAACGCUGGCGGCAGGCCUAACACAUGCAAGUCGAGCGGGGCGGCGGCCGGGGGAGUAAUGCCAAGGAAUCUGCCUGGUAGUGGGGGAUAACGUCCGGAAACGGGCGCUAAUCCCGCAUCCUAUCAGAUGAGCCUGGGUGGGAUUAGUUAGUUGGUGGGGUAAAGGCCUACCAAGGCGACGAUCCGUACCUGGUCUGAGAGGAUGAUCAGUCACACUGGAACUGAGACACGGUCCAGACUCCUACGGGAGGCAGCAGUGGGGAAUAUUGGACAAUGGGCGAAAGCCUGAUCCAGCUAUGCCGCGUGUGUGAAGAAGGUCUUCGGAUUGUAAAGCACUUUAAGUUGGGAGGCGUUACCAACAGAAUAAGCACCGGCUAACUUCGUGCCAGCAGCCGCGGUAAUUC
rnacentral:rRNA from 1 species